ensembl:lncRNA
AGCUUAGAACUGCACGCCGACAGCCGAGCCAAGUUCAGUUACCCAACACGGCUGCCAGCAAUAAGGUCUAAGGCACUGCAUCUCAGUGCAAGAGGCGUCGCUACAGUCCCUGCUUCGAAUCCAGGCUGUAUCACAUCCGGCCGUGAUCGGGAGUCUCAUAGGGCGGCGCACAAAUGACCCAGCAUCGUUCGGGUUUGGCCGGGGUAGGCCAUCAUUUGGUUGCGCUGUGCUGUGCUCACUAUAGAACAGAGCAGGAUCAUCCCUCAUAAAUGGAAGAAGUCACAGUGAAGACCGUGAACUUUGACCUUUACCAUCUAAAAAUGGUCCUAACACCCUGAUGAAGGCUCUUUAGCCAAAAUCCACAGCAAGGAGAGGAGCUCUCCCCACCCCCAACCCCCCUUACCCAUUAAGCGACACCCAAACAGAUUUGGCCAACCCACUGACCCCUCCCCCACCACCUGACCCCGGCGACCUAGGAGCCAUGGCAACCCUCUGACCCAUCCUCCUGUUGCCAAGGAAACAACCUUGGAGCAUGUCUGACCAUACCCUCCCUUCUCCCCCCUCAAUGACGCGCUGAGACG